rnacentral:rRNA from 1 species
UACAGAGGGGGCAAGCGUUGUUCGGAAUUACUGGGCGUAAAGGGCGCGUAGGCGGCCUUCUAAGUCGAACGUGAAAUCCCUGGGCUCAACCCAGGAACUGCGUCCGAUACUGGAAGGCUUGAAUCCGGGAGAGGGAUGCGGAAUUCCAGGUGUAGCGGUGAGAUGCGUAGAUAUCUGGAGGAACACCGGUGGCGAAGGCGGCAUCCUGGACCGGUAUUGACGCUGAGGCGCGAAAGCCAGGGGAGCAAACGGG